UUUAGAGAAGCACUUAUGGCUAGCUGUAAUCCCUUCUAACUAUUCGUGCUUUAAAUUAUUUUAUCUAAAGGAAAGAAACGUUAAUGAUGUUCAUCUUGAGAAGUCCAAAUUUGCCAGCCUUGUAUGAACCUUACAGAGAAGUGGAUUCUCAAAAAUGUAAUUCCUCGCCUUACAAAAAAGAAGCAGUGGUGUCCUGGGUCCAAAAGUGAGGAAACACCAGACAUGCCAAAAGGUCUGUGUCUAAUUGCUUUUACUAUAUUCUGGAGAUCAAAGCUUCAGAUUUUACUGAUACAAAUGCCAUAUUUAGCUUUGUCUGUUUUCCCUCUCCAGUCUUUCUACUCCUGUGGUCUAUACCAUUCCAGGGUGGAGGAGAAGAAAUAAUGACAAUUUUGGGAUUUAAAAUAUUUACUUGAUCAUCGUGUUUGUGUGUAAAUAAACACCUCAAAAUGUGAAAACAAAGAAGAAAUUAUAGAGACAGUUUAUUUCUACUUUAAUAUUUUACUCCUAGAAAACGGUAGAUCCUAAAUACACAGAAGAGUUACUGGGCAUAUCUAAAGAAUGCAUAAAAGUUUAAAAGACUUUUUAAAUUUAAUUUAAUUUUGAGACAAGGUCUCACUCUGUCACCCAGGCUGACUGCAGUGGUGUGAUCUUGGCUUACAGCAGCCUCAACCGGGACUCAAGUGAUCCUCCCACCUCAGCCUCCUGGGCAGCCAGAACUACAGGAAUGAAUCACCACAGCAGACCAAUUUUUAGUUUUAUUGUAGAGACAAGGUCUUGUUAUUUUGCCCAGGCUGGUCUUAAAACUCCUGGAGGCAAACAAUCCUCCUGCCUCGGCCUCCCCAAGUGUUGAGAUUACAGGCUUGAGCCUCUACGCUCAGGCAAAAAGCCUCUUUUCUAUCUCAGCUUUUCUUUCCUUAUUCAAAACCAAUGAAUUUAAUUUAAUGAAUGGAGUUUCUCGAGGUUAAACUUUUCUAGAACUCUUAAGAUUUGGGUGCCUGCUUUUCUUUUCUUCUAGCAGAUGUAAAAUAAUAUGACAUGAAAUUAUUAAUUUUUUUUUUUGAGACAGAGUUUUGCUCUUGUCACACAGGCUGGAGUGCAGUGGUACGAUCCUGGCUCACUGCAACCUCCGUCCCCUGGGUUCAAGCUAAUCUCCUGCCUCAGCCUCCUGAGUAGCUGGGAUUACAGGCGCCUGCCACCACAACCAGCUAAUUUUUGUAUUUUUGGUAGAGAUGGGGUUUCACCAUCUUUGCCAGGCUGGUAUUGAACUCCUGACCACAAGUGAUCCACUCGCCUCAGCCUCCCAACGUGCUGGGAUUGCAGGCGUGAGCCACUGCGCCCAGCCAAAAUUAUUAUAUUUUAAGUUAUUACUCAACCAGCAAGGCUAGUCCCUCAAAUUAAAUUAGGUAAGUAAGUAACUAGGAUAGAUAUCUAUCAUCCUAAUAUAUAUAUAUUAUUGUAAAUUUUAUGCACUAUUCUUUUUGAGAUUCAGAAACCCUUAUACAUCAAACACAGUUCCAGUUACUGAUGGUAAAAUUAUUCCUUGUCAUAUAAUGUCAUAAAUCUGUAACUAUUUUGGAGCAGAGUAUCAGAGUACCAAGGGUUGUGGCUGCUUUGUCAACUUAAAAAAUUGAAAAUCACUGUCUUGUAG
ensembl:lincRNA